UACGGAGGAGGCAAUCGUUAUCCGGAAUUAUUGGGCGUAAAGCGUCCGUAGGUGGUUGACCAAGUCUGCUGUCAAAGGGUGGGGCUUAACCUCAUAAAGGCAGUGGAAACUGGUGAGCUAGAGUGCGGUAGGGGUAAGGGGAAUUCCCAGUGUAGCGGUGAAAUGCGUAGAGAUUGGGAAGAACAUCGGUGGCGAAAGCGCCUUGCUGGGCCUGCACUGACACUGAGGGACGAAAGCUAGGGGAGAGCAAGGG
rnacentral:rRNA from 1 species